UUGGACGCUGGCGGCAUGCUUUACACAUGCAAGUCGAACGGCAGCGGGGGCUUCGGCCUGCCGGCGAGUGGCGAACGGGUGAGUAAUGCAUCGGAACGUACCCAGUCGUGGGGGAUAACUACGCGAAAGCGUGGCUAAUACCGCAUACGCCCUGAGGGGGAAAGCGGGGGACCUUCGGGCCUCGCGCGAUUGGCGCGGCUGAUGUCGGAUUAGCUGGUUGGUGGGGUAAAGGCCUACCAAGGCGACGAUCCGUAGCUGGUCUGAGAGGAUGAGCAGCCACACUGGGACUGAGACACGGCCCAGACUCCUACGGGAGGCAGCAGUGGGGAAUUUUGGACAAUGGGCGCAAGCCUGAUCCAGCCAUGCCGCGUGAGUGAAGAAGGCCUUCGGGUUGUAAAGCU
rnacentral:rRNA from 1 species